UAGGGAAUCUUCGGCAAUGGACGGAAGUCUGACCGAGCAACGCCGCGUGAGUGAAGAAGGUUUUCGGAUCGUAAAGCUCUGUUGUAAGAGAAGAACGAGUGUGAGAGUGGAAAGUUCACACUGUGACGGUAUCUUACCAGAAAGGGACGGCUAACUACGUGCCAGCAGCCGCGGUAAUACGUAGGUCCCGAGCGUUGUCCGGAUUUAUUGGGCGUAAAGCGAGCGCAGGCGGUUAGAUAAGUCUGAAGUUAAAGGCUGUGGCUUAACCAUAGUACGCUUUGGAAACUGUUUAACUUGAGUGCAAGAGGGGAGAGUGGAAUUCCAUGUGUAGCGGUGAAAUGCGUAGAUAUAUGGAGGAACACCGGUGGCGAAAGCGGCUCUCUGGCUUGUAACUGACGCUGAGGCUCGAAAGCGUGGGGAGCAAACAGGAUUAGAUACCCUGGUAGUCCACGCCGUAAACGAUGAGUGCUANNNGUUAGACCCUUUCCGGGGUUUAGUGCCGCAGCUAACGCAUUAAGCACUCCGCCUGGGGAGUACGACCGCAAGGUUG
rnacentral:rRNA from 1 species